GAUGAACGCUAGCGGCAGGCUUAACACAUGCAAGUCGAGGGGUAGAGGCUUUCGGGCCUUGAGACCGGCGCACGGGUGCGUAACGCGUAUGCAAUCUGCCUUCCACAGAGGGAUAGCCCAGAGAAAUUUGGAUUAAUACCUCAUAGUAUUACAGGAUGGCAUCAUCCGGUAAUUAAAGUCACAACGGUGGAAGAUGAGCAUGCGUCCCAUUAGCUAGUUGGUAAGGUAACGGCUUACCAAGGCGACGAUGGGUAGGGGUCCUGAGAGGGAGAUCCCCCACACUGGUACUGAGACACGGACCAGACUCCUACGGGAGGCAGCAGUGAGGAAUAUUGGUCAAUGGGCGCAAGCCUGAACCAGCCAUGCCGCGUGCAGGAUGACGGUCCUAUGGAUUGUAAACUGCUUUUGUACGGGAAGAAACACUGAUUCGUGAAUCAGCCUGACGGUACCGUAAGAAUAAGGAUCGGCUAACUCCGUGCCAGCAGCCGCAGUAAAAC
rnacentral:rRNA from 1 species